GCUUAGUCAUUCCCCGUGUCUCUCUCUUCUCUCUAAAAGCUAGAGAGAGAGAAAGUAGAUCUCGCCCAACACCGCUUCCUCCAUAUGAAUUCAUUUCAUAUGUUGAAGCCCAUGGAUUUCCUUCUUCACUCCUACGUGGUUUGUUCUAAAUAUUGGGUGGUUUUGGUAUUUCUAGAUCUUUGAUGAUUCUGUCAGGCCAUCUUCAGAUCUUCAACUGCGUCUUAAGAGUUCGCAAUAACAACAGGUUCUCCUGAUGUUUCAUUUACAAUGAUCGCCAGUUAUUUAGGAGUCACUUUUUCCUAUUGAUUUGAGAUUUGAUGAUAAUGAAGCAGAAGAUGCUUGCUGAUGAACAAAUCUGGAGAUUAUGACUAAAAGUGAAUAUUGUCGCAUGGGAUUAGAACUCAUAACAUUAUCACUAAAUGUGAUUAUAUUAAUUAAUAUUAAUCUUUAAAA